CCCCUCUCAGGGUUGCACCUGGAGAGUUUCCGGUACUCUACCAGUCUUGAUUAUGGGAGGGAGAGUCAAACUGAGGCAGAUCCAUUCCAUUCCUAGCUUGGCCAGUGGCUAGCAAGUGGCAGAAAAUCUGCUACAAGU